UGUCUGAAUAAAACUUGAAAGUAAAUGAAUAAAAUAAAAAUAAUAAAUAAAAAAUCACACACGACUUUAUGGUUAGAAUGUGGUGUGCCUGAAUAAAAUUUGAAAGUUUCAAUUCAUUCAACGCAAAACUUGACAGUUGCUGAAUCAUGAAAUUUUUAAUAAAGUAAAUUUUAUUGAUAUGAGUAACUAUGAAGAAUAUACAUACCUGGAAUCGUUUAAGAUGUAAUAUCAGAACAGCUGGUGGAUUGUAGAUGAGCAAUUGCUUGGUAGCGUUAUUAUAUUGGACUUUCUUUUCUGGGCCACCCAAUCUUUCAGUACAUGCAUCACAAGUUACUUUAUUGCACCCAUUGAGAAAUUCCCAGGUGGUGAAUUGGUUCAUGCAGGAUUGAAUGGAACAUUCUCCUUCGGUGCAUUGA